rnacentral:rRNA from 1 species
UACGGAGGGAGCUAGCGUUAUUCGGAAUUACUGGGCGUAAAGCGCACGUAGGCGGCUUUGUAAGUCAGAGGUGAAAGCCUGGAGCUCAACUCCAGAACUGCCUUUGAGACUGCAUCGCUUGAAUCCAGGAGAGGUGAGUGGAAUUCCGAGUGUAGAGGUGAAAUUCGUAGAUAUUCGGAAGAACACCAGUGGCGAAGGCGACUCACUGGACACGUAUUGACGCUGAGGUGCGAAAGCGUGGGGAGCGAACAGG